AAAAUCCGUCGACUUUAGAAAUCGUGAGGGUUUCAAGUCCCUCUAUACCCA
rnacentral:tRNA from 1 species